rnacentral:rRNA from 1 species
AUUUUACUAUCAAAUCCACCUUCAAUAAAUUUUUCAUAUUUAUAUCCGUAUAAAUAAAUUUAUUGUAACCCAUUAAAAACUUAACUAUAAACUGCACCUUGAUCUGAUAUACAAUUUUAUUUAAUUUAUUGAAAAUUAUUAUUCUUAUAAAAUUUUCUAUAACGACGGUAUACAAAUUAAUAUAUAAAAUUAAGUGAGGUACAUCGUGGAAUAUCGAUUACAAAACAGGUUCCUCUGAACAGACUAAAAUACCGCCAAAUUUUUUAAGUUUAAAGAAUNUNACUNUUAAUACUCAAGU